CCUCCGCCUCCUCUCUCACACAACACAAGCCGUUUUCAUCUGUUUGGCUCUUCCUUGUUCUCCAGCACAGUUUCUCUCGAAAUCUUUUGGUUUUGUUGUAUAGCAUUCGUUCCUCAUUUCGUUUUGUCGAUUUUCCGGGUAAAAAUGGGCCGAGAGGCGAAGAGGGGAGAGCUACGAUCUAAUGGCUCUGAAAAGACCUGUAGGUUUUCUACGGGGUGCCCUGCCUCAUUGGCCCUCCACAUCAAGCCGACGAUGGCAUCAUAGAUUCCCAUAACAGGAAGCAUCAAUGGCAUGAUUUGGCAGCGCUCAAGAAUGAA